rnacentral:rRNA from 1 species
AUGAGCAGCCGCCGUGUUGGCCUCCUCCUCCUCUCCCUUCUGGCCACCACCCUCUCGUACAGCGCGGAUCCGCCGCCGGUGCACGACACCGACGGCAACGAGCUGCGCGCCGACGCGAACUACUACAUCCUCCCGGCGAACCGCGCCCACGGCGGGGGGCUCACGAUGGCGCCCGGCCACGGGCGCCGCUGCCCGCUCUUCGUCUCGCAGGAGGCCGACGGGCAGCGCGAUGGCUUACCCGUGCGCAUCGCCCCGCACGGCGGCGGCGCGCCGUCCGACAAGAUCAUCCGGCUGUCGACCGACGUCCGCAUCUCCUUCCGCGCCUACACGACGUGCGUGCAGUCGACCGAGUGGCACAUCGACAGCGAGCUGGUGUCGGGCCGCCGGCACGUGAUCACCGGCCCGGUCAGGGACCCGAGCCCGAGCGGCAGGGAGAACGCCUUCCGCAUCGAGAAGUACAGCGGCGCGGAGGUGCACGAGUACAAGCUCAUGGCGUGCGGGGACUCGUGCCAGGACCUCGGCGUGUUCAGGGACCUCAAGGGCGGCGCGUGGUUCCUGGGCGCCACCGAGCCGUACCAUGUCAUCGUGUUCA